ensembl:lncRNA
AUUUCUGCUGAACAUUUCUGCUGAACAUUUCUGCUAAACAUUUCUGUUGAACUGAACAUUUCUGCUGAACAUUUCUGUAGAAUAUUUCUACUGAACAUUUCUGUUGAACAUUUCUGCUGAACUAAACAUUACUACUGAACAUUUCUGCUGAACAUUACUACUGAACAUUUCUGCUGAACAUUUCUGUAGAAUAUUUCUGCUGAACAUUUCUACUGAACAUUUCUGCUGAACUGAAUAUUUCUGCUGAACUAAACAUUUCUGCUGAACAUUUCUACUGAACAUUACUGCUGAACAUUUCUGCUGAACUAAACAUUUCUGCUGAACAUUUCUACUGAACAUUACUGCUGAAUAUUUCUGCUGAACUUAACAUUACUGCUGAACAUUUCUGUAGAAUAUUUCUGCUGAACAUUUCUGCUGAACACUUCUGCUGAACUGAACAUUACUGCUGAACAUUUCUGUAGAAUAUUUCUGCUGAACAUUUCUGCUGAACUGAACAUUACUGCUGAACAUUUCUGUAGAAUAUUUCUGCUGAACUGAACAUUUCUGCUGAACAUUUCUGCUGAACUGAACAUUACUGCUGAACAUUUCUGUAGAAUAUUUCUGCUGAACUGAAC